CAGUAGCCGCGGUAAUACAGAGGAUGCAAGCGUUAUCCGGAAUGAUUGGGCGUAAAGCGUCUGUAGGUGGCUUUUCAAGUCUGCCGUCAGAUCCCAGGGCUCAACCCUGGACAGGCGGUGGAAACUACCAAGCUGGAGUGCGGUAGGGGCAGAGGGAAUUCCCGGUGGAGCGGUGAAAUGCGUUGAGAUCGGAAAGAACACCAAUGGCGAAAGCACUCUGCUGGGCCGACACUGACACUGAGAGACGAAAGCUAGGGGAGCAAAUGGGAUUAGAUACCCCCGUAGUCCCUGUCUCUUAUAC
rnacentral:rRNA from 1 species